UCGAAUAAUCCAAAAGGUGUUGUGAUC
rnacentral:sRNA from 1 species